GUUAAGGUAUUGCGUAUAGUGUCAGAUUAUAUUAGCAUGUGUAGUCUGCACAGGCCAAUCAAGGGUUAAGGUAUUGCGUAUAGUGUCAGAUUAUAUUAGCAUGUGUAGUCUGCACAGGCCAAUCAGGGGUUAAGGUAUUGCGUAUAGUGUCAGAUUAUAUUAGCAUGUGUAGUCUGCACAGGCCAAUCAGGGGUUAAGGUAUUGCGUAUAGUGUCAGAUUAUAUUAGCAUGUGUAGUCUGCACAGGCCAAUCAAGGGUUAAGGUAUUGCGUAUAGUGUCCGAUUAUAUUAGCAUGUGAAGUCUGCACAGGCCAAUCAGGG